GGCAUUUGAGGUGGUAGAUUUCGUACCGACCACACGCCGCUGGUAAUGACAAGGGCUGUGCCCUGAGAGAUGCAGGAGGAUGGUACGCCUGCCAAAUGCC
ncrna:unclassified sequences skipping-rope RNA